CAUGUAGGCGGAUUAAUAAGUUUGAAGUGAAAUCCUAUAGCUUAACUAUAGAACUGCUUCGAAAACUGUUAAUCUAGAAUGUGGGAGAGGUAGAUGGAAUUUCUGGUGUAGGGGUAAAAUCCGUAGAGAUCAGAAGGAAUACCGAUUGCGAAGGCGAUCUACUGGAACAUUAUUGACGCUGAGACGCGAAAGCGUGGGGAGCAAACA
rnacentral:rRNA from 1 species